rnacentral:rRNA from 1 species
CCUACGGGUGGCAGCAGUGAGGAAUAUUGGUCAAUGGGCGCGAGCCUGAACCAGCCAAGUCGCGUGAGGGAAGACGGUCCUAUGGAUUGUAAACCUCUUUUGUCGGGGAGCAAAAGAUGCCACUAGUUGCGUUCUGAGAGUACCCGAAGAAAAAGCAUCGGCUAACUCCGUGCCAGCAGCCGCGGUAAUACUGAGGAUGCGAGCGUUAUCCGGGUUUAUUGGGUUGAAGGGGUGCGUAGGCGGAAUUUUAAGUCAGCGGUAAAAUGUCCGGGCUCAACCCGGGCCGGCCGUUGAAACUGGGGAUCUUGAGUGGGCGAGAAGUAUGCGGAAUGCGUGGUGUAGCGGUGAAAUGCAUAGAUAUCACGCAGAACUCCGAUUGCGAAGGCAGAAUACCGGCGCCCGACUGACGCUGAGGCACGAAAGCGUGGGGAUCGAACAGGAUUAGAUACCCGGGUAGUC